rnacentral:rRNA from 1 species
UACGGAGGGUGCAAGCAUUAAUCGGAUUUAUUGGGCGUAAAGGGCGCGUAGGCGGGUUUGUAAGUCAGAUGUGAAAUUCCGAAGCUCAACUUCGGAGCUGCAUUUGAAACUACAAGUCUAGAGGAGUGGCGGAGAAAAUGGAAUUCCACGUGUAGCGGUGAAAUGCGUAGAUAUGUGGAAGAACACCAGUGGCGAAAGCGGUUUUCUAGCUUAUUCCUGACGCUGAGGCGCGAGAGCAAGGGGAGCAAACAGG